AGUUUGAUCCUGGCUCAGAACGAACGCUGGCGGCAUGCCUAACACAUGCAAGUCGAACGAGACCUUCGGGUCUAGUGGCGCACGGGUGCGUAACGCGUGGGAACCUGCCCUUGGGUUCGGAAUAACGUCGGGAAACUGACGCUAAUACCGGAUAAUGUCUUCGGACCAAAGAUUUAUCGCCAAAGGAUGGGCCCGCGUAGGAUUAGCUAGUUGGUGGGGUAACGGCUCACCAAGGCGACGAUCCUUAGCUGGUCUUAGAGGAUGAUCAGCCACACUGGGACUGAGACACGGCCCAGACUCCUACGGGAGGCAGCAGUGGGGAAUAUUGGACAAUGGGCGAAAGCCUGAUCCAGCAAUGCCGCGUGAGUGAUGAAGGCCUUAGGGUUGUAAAGCUCUUUUACUGGGGAUGAUAAUGACAGUACCCAGAGAAUAAGCCCCGGCUAACUCCGUGCCAGCAGCCGCGGUAAUACGGAGGGGGCUAGCGUUGUUCGGAAAUACUGGGCGUAAAGCGCACGUAGGCGGUGAAGUAAGUCAGAGGUGAAAUCCCAGGGCUCAACCCUGGAACUGCCUUUGAAACUGCUACACUAGAAUCAUGGAGAGGUCAGUGGAAUUCCGAGUGUAGAGGUGAAAUUCGUAGAUAUUCGGAAGAACACCAGUGGCGAAGGCGACUGACUGGACAUGUAUUGACGCUGA
rnacentral:rRNA from 1 species